rnacentral:rRNA from 1 species
AUGCUCACCGCCAGUGCGGAACAAAUACGGGCGGCGGCAGCGUUCGCCGAAGGUCUUGGUGUUCCCCAUGGCUCUGUGAUGUUCAGGAAAAUUCUGCUGUAUGUCGAAUUGCUCGGCGAGGACAAGAUUGCUGCCAAAGUGAAGUACUUGAAGAGCACCUUGGGCUGGUCGGAUGCUGAGGUGGGCAUUGCUUUGUCCAAGGAUCCGUCUGUGCUGAGGAGGUCAAAGAAUAUGCUACAGCGCAGAUCUGAGUUCCUUCUCUCUGAGUUGGGGUUGGAGCCGGCCUACAUUGCUCAUCGACCGGCAAUGCUCACUUACAGCCUGGAGGGCCGGCUCAGACCCCGCUACUAUGUUAUGAAAUUUCUCAAGGAAAAUGGGUUGCUAGUGCACACACUGAUUUUGACUGAGAAGGUAUUCAUGGAGAAGUACAUAUGCCCUCACAUGGAAGCUGCACCAGACCUUGCUGAAGACUACGCUGCCGCCUGCCGAGGGGAAUCGCCGACAAGAUUCAGAUUUGCAUCACCCAAGAACGAGCUAUGA